UACGGGGGGGGCAAGCGUUGUUCGGAAUUACUGGGCGUAAAGGGCUCGUAGGCGGCCAACUAAGUCGGACGUGAAAUCCCCAGGCUCAACCUGGGAACUGCGUCUGAUACUGGUUGGCUUGAGUUCGGGAGAGGGAUGCGGAAUUCCAGGUGUAGCGGUGAAAUGCGUAGAUAUCUGGAGGAACACCGGUGGCGAAGGCGGCAUCCUGGACCGACACUGACACUGAGGAGCGAAAGCCAGGGGAGCAAACGGG
rnacentral:rRNA from 1 species